GAAGACGCGCGUCCGGUAGUUAAAGGAGGCGGAAUGUGAUCGUAAAAAAAAAGUAAAGGAACUCAUAAAAAUGAGUUUUAUUCCAGCGACACUCCGCCAGACUCCGCCCCUCUGCCGCCGCUUCCUCGGCCAUCGAGGUCCUCCAGCAGUGCGCUUUGGACAGCCGCUUCUCCGCCACGGAAACCAUAUUCCAAUACUUGAGGGAAAAAAGGAUCCAAUCUGCCAAUUCCAACAAGGGGCCCAGCGGGGAGGCGAGGCGCUGAAGGGAACAGCGGGGGGGAAGGAGACGGGAAGGAACAGCCACUGACUCAUCGCAUAUGGCGGCGUCUCAGCGGUUGCCGAAUGGCCGACUUCCCCGCCCAUUUUCGGGAUCUUAAACUGCUCUUUUAGGUGCGUAGUGUUCGUAAAAAUUUCCCGCAGUUUCUUUUAAAUGAGAUUUGACACUGGUUGUCAUAGAAUUAUGUGAAAAAUAGAAUUUCAAUAUUCAGUGAGAACUUUUUUCCUUUUUUUUCGGAAAUAUACUUCGUUGGUGAAACUUUUAUUAUGGUCCUAUUGACUGUAAGAAGCUGUGAUGUGCGUUUUACUGGACAGGUAAAAUGUUCAUAUACUUGGCCAAAUAAAGAUUUUAAAUUCA